GUUUUAUUCGUAUUGCAUCUUUUAGAAACAAAAAGAUAGAACUUAAAGUGCUUUGCAGAUAUAUUAUUGAUUUAUGAAUUUUUAGAUGGGAUUGUUUCUACCUGCCUCUUAGACCUGUGAAACUAAAAUCUUUUAUCAAGGGCACCCAGAUCUACUGGCCGAUUUCUUCCAGCUGUCUCAAGCUCUAGGUUGAAGCCUUCACAUCUACCUCAGUCUUCUACACAACACGUCUUUGAAUCAAACCUUUAAAUGCACUUUUAUUCCUUUUAUUUUUAUCUGAGCAUUAGGAUUCCCUUUUCAGACUGUUUUCUAUUCCUGUUGGUCUGAGCACUUUUUCAAAUUUUAUUGUCUGAUUGAUCUGAGAAUGGUCUUAUUGUUUGAUCGCCUUGAUUUUUUGUUCUUGUUUUUUUUCUGAGGCACUUCCAUCGUCCACGGCCAUCUUUUGUUGUUUGAGAUGUUCUUCAUGUAAAAACUUGGAUUUGACUGGAUUACCGUACACAUAGACACACGCUUGGGAAUGAGAAAGAAGCAAAAAAAUUGACGAAGGUAAAGACAUCUGAGGCAUCCCUCUUACACUCCUUAUUUUAGCCUGUAUCAUCCUCGGCUCUCUCUGCCUCUCUCCAUUUGGACUGGCUUGGACUGUUUUUGUGCGAUAAUGUGUGUUUCCUUUUGUGUAUAAGAAAACUGAUGCAAAACCUUCAUAUAUAAGAGCACCUAUAUUAGUGUUUGUUAAUUUACAACCACUGUCCUAGUGUCUUUUCCUUGUGUGUGUGUGUGUGUGUGUGUGUGUGUGUGUGUGUGUGUGUGUGUGUGUGUGUGUGUGUGUGUGUGUGUGUGUGUGUGUGUGUGUGUGUGUGUGUGUGCUUUAAAUACCUGUGCACUCUCAGCUGGUGGCCUUUGAGUCUUGUCCUCAUCUUGUUUUCAUGAAGUCUGUGAGAGAGAAAGUUGCAUUUUUAUUUUUAUUUUCCUGUUUUCUUCAGAGAAGAAAAAGGAUCAUUUUGAUAACACCUUGGUCUAUUCUUUGUCAGACAGGUAUUUUGGAGUAGCUUUAGCCAACAACAGGAACCUGCAUGUGAGAACUGCAACAUUGUGGGUUGUGGAGGACAAUCUGAUGAGGAAGUUUUCCUGGUAUUUUUACAGUAUAAGAUUAAAUCUUUAUCAUUUAAACAAGAAAAUAUUACCUUUAAAAUUUCCCUGUUAAUAGAGGACAGAGAUAACCAAACCACAUGAGAGAAUAUUAACGUGAAAAUGUG